GAAAAUUAGUUAAAAAAUAACAUAUGCUUGUCGCGCAUAAGUUGCUGGGCUUAUUCAGUAUUAUCCUA
rnacentral:tRNA from 1 species